GAAGGCAUCAAUUCGUGCAAAGGAAAGAAUAAAAUCAUGGACUCGUUAAAGUUUAAUUCAGAUUCCUAUUUUUGUGUUUUGAAGAGACAGUAAUUCCUGCAAGUGUAAAAUUAAAUUUCUUUUCUUUAUUGAUGAACAUUUAAAGUAAUAUUCUAUUGUUUUGUACAUAAAUACACUUUGCAGGCCCCAGUAUGUUGAGAAUAGUUCGAAGUUAUAACGUUACGUUUCCCGUAUUUACGUUCACAUGUUUGUGACGUUUCUUACACCUUGUAUGGGCUUCGCCAUUGUAAAUAUUAUACGCAAAGUAAACACAACGCAAAGUACAUAUACGACUUAUUUAGUUUAUUCCACACAACUAUAAAGGGCAA
rnacentral:lncRNA from 1 species